CACCACCUCCCCUUUGGCUUCAUUUCCUUCACUCUCCACUCCCCCACACUCUCCCCCUACCUCUCCCCACGAGCUGCUGCCCCUCCCAAGCUUCAUGGCUGGCCAUGGCCAUGGAAAGAGCUCCUUGAUGCAGCUCCCUCCUCCCUCAAGCUCAUCCUCACCAUGAGAGCAUCUCUCUCUCUCUCUCUUUUCCCCUAACCCUAGCUGAUUUCCUCACCUCUUCUUCUUCCUCCAUUGCUAAGAUUGGAUCUUGAUGCAGGUGCAUGUUGGUCUAAGCAUGGAGAAGCUUGAGCUAUCCUCAGAUCUGAAGCUCUUGACCAAAAUCCAAAUCGAGUGAUUCAAAGUUCCGCAGAUAGGUAUUGAAAAGAUCUACAACUUGGCGUUGGUCUCAUCCUCAAAUUCGUUACGGAUUUUGCACGAUCAAGAUCUGGUCAGAUCUGACUUUGUCGAAUUAAACCAGGAGCUUGGAAGCGAAUUUUUGAAUGAACCCAAUUGGGGGAUGUUUGGUUCAUACCAUGGUGAUAACCGAGAGAGGUAAAUUGCUAAGUGGUGAUACUCUCAUACCCUUACUAGAUGCGAACAAUUCCGGAGAAGAAGAAGAAGUGGUUCGGACAAGGAUUUUAUUUAUAUUGACGAGAUUCUUAUAUUGAUGAAGUUAAAGAAGUCCAGGGACAAAUAAGCCAAGGCAAGCCAUCUUUUGAUCUCUGUUUUGGUGUCUAGUUGGAUGUCAUUUGUUGAUGUCCAAAGCACCUUGAAUUCUAUGUGUGUUAUUCUCUCUAUUUAUGUCAUCUAUGUGUGUUUCCAA